rnacentral:rRNA from 1 species
UACGUAGGGUGCGAGCGUUGUCCGGAAUUACUGGGCGUAAAGGGCUCGUAGGCGGCCAACUAAGUCAGACGUGAAGUCCCUCGGCUUAACCGGGGAACUGCGUCUGAUACUGGAUGGCUUGAGUUCGGGAGAGGGAUGCGGAAUUCCAGGUGUAGCGGUGAAAUGCGUAGAUAUCUGGAGGAACACCGGUGGCGAAGGCGGCAUCCUGGACCGACACUGACACUGAGGAGCGAAAGCCAGGGGAGCAAACGGG